rnacentral:rRNA from 1 species
AACCUCCCGGGCCACCCGGCCUGCGGCGGAAUGUUGCGUAAAGGGAAAGGUCGUAGUCAAACCCCACAGCCACGCGAACUCUAAGUCAGCCACGAAUAGGCUAUCCCAACUAACGGCGGGAAAGACUCCACGGAGGGUGUAAGACCCGUGUGGGCGUGUGUCAAAGCUGUGUGGGCUCGGCCUCUUUUCCCUGAGAGUCGCGUUGCUUGAGCAUGCAGCGCUAAGCAGGUCGUAAACUCGAUCUAAGGCUAAAUAUCUCCACAGAACCGAUAGCGAACAAGUACCGUGAGGGAAAGUUGAAAAGCACUCUGGAGAGAGAGUCAAAAGACCGUGAAACCGUUCAGAGUAUAAGCCCAUGGCAGCUUGGAAGGCAUAUCGAUGGCGGGGCAUCGGAACCCUUCUCUCUUUACGAGGGAUUGUGAACUGGUGUUACCUUGUUUCUGUAAUGGCUCGUCAAGGUAGGGGCUUCAAGUAGUCACCGCCGUCGUGCGGGAGGUAUUCAGGCAUGUUGUUUGGUUUUGCAGUUGGCUUCAUUGUUGGCUGUAGGGCCCUUCGUGUUUGGUGCUUCUUUAACACGGACGUUCAGAGUCAGUAACAAGACGCGAUAAACAGCCCACCACGGCACGUUGUGAGGUCACCCACAGGCUGGACUUUGGAUUGCGAUCCUUGACGCCGAGCAAGCACAAUGCGUGUCGCUGAUAUUCCUUACCAUAAUAUAAAUGUGGACGGUGGAAUGACACGUGCUCAACAGUCAGGUUCGGGCUAUGACACAGUACUGGUAUGAUCCUCAUGCGACGAGCCGGCUCUGGCCAAAAUUCCGAUGCACAGGUCUUCCGCAUGUGCCGCGGUUGACCGCGCCCUUUGACGGUCUGGACGAGUUAAUUAAAGUCCUCCUAGUCGGGUGUCGGAAAGAGUGGUGUAAAGUCCAAGCCCAUCGGUCACGUCUCGAAACACGGGCCAAGGAGUAUAGCAUGUGUGCAAGUCUAAGGGUCUCACAAAACCUGAAGGCGAAGUGAAAGCAAGUACGCGGCGGGUGAUCUACGGAAAUAGACCGUCAGCUAGAGGAGCUCGUCUCCUCCGGCUUUGGCAGAGUUGAUCCUGCAGCGGUACCUCGUACGUACGCUCAGGCGCAAACUCCAGGCUCACGUAUAGCACUGGUUUUCGGACUGUGCUGUGAGCACUGUGGAGCAUGCAUGCUAUGACCCGAAAGAUAGUGAACUAUGCCUGGCGAGGGCGAAGCCCCAGGAAACUGGGGUGGAGGCCCGUAGCCGUUGUGACGUGCAAAUCCAU